rnacentral:rRNA from 1 species
AAAAAUGACUCUCGGCAACGGAUAUCUCGGCUCUUGCAUCGAURAARAACGUAGCGAAAUGCGAUACUUGGUGUGAAUUGCAGAAUCCCGUGAACCAUCGAGUCUUUGAACGCAAGUUGCGCCCAAAGCCAUUUGGUUGAGGGCACGCCUGCCUGGGUGUCGUG